GAUGAACGCUGGCGGCGUGCCUAAUACAUGCCAGUCGAGCGAACAGACGAGGAGCUAGCUCCUCUGACGUUAGCGGCGGACGGGUGAGUAACACGUGGAUAACCUACCUAUAAGACUGGGAUAACUUCGGGAAACCGGAGCUAAUACCGGAUAAUAUAUUGAACCGCAUGGUUCAAUAGUGAAAGACGGUUUUGCUGUCACUUAUAGAUGGAUCCGCGCCGCAUUAGCUAGUUGGUAAGGUAACGGCUUACCAAGGCAACGAUGCGUAGCCGACCUGAGAGGGUGAUCGGCCACACUGGAACUGAGACACGGUCCAGACUCCUACGGGAGGCAGCAGUAGGGAAUCUUCCGCAAUGGGCGAAAGCCUGACGGAGCAACGCCGCGUGAGUGAUGAAGGUCUUCGGAUCGUAAAACUCUGUUAUUAGGGAAGAACAAAUGUGUAAGUAACUAUGCACGUCUUGACGGUACCUAAUCAGAAAGCCACGGCUAACUACGUG
rnacentral:rRNA from 1 species